GAUGAACGCUGGCGGCGUGUCUAAUACAUGCAAGUCGAGCGAACAGACGAGGAGCUUGCUCCUUCGACGUUAGCGGCGGACGGGUGAGUAACACGUAGGUAACCUACCUAUAAGACUGGGAUAACUUCGGGAAACCGGAGCUAAUACCGGAUAAUAUUUCGAACCGCAUGGUUCGAUAGUGAAAGAUGGCUUUGCUAUCACUUAUAGAUGGACCUGCGCCGUAUUAGCUAGUUGGUAAGGUAACGGCUUACCAAGGCAACGAUACGUAGCCGACCUGAGAGGGUGAUCGGCCACACUGGAACUGAGACACGGUCCAGACUCCUACGGGAGGCAGCAGUAGGGAAUCUUCCGCAAUGGGCGAAAGCCUGACGGAGCAACGCCGCGUGAGUGAUGAAGGUCUUCGGAUCGUAAAACUCUGUUAUUAGGGAAGAACAAACGUGUAAGUAACUGUGCACGUCUUGACGGUACCUAAUCAGAAAGCCACGGCUAACUACGUG
rnacentral:rRNA from 1 species